rnacentral:rRNA from 1 species
UACGUAGGGGGCGAGCGUUGUCCGGAUUUAUUGGGCGUAAAGAGCUCGUAGGCGGUUUGGCAAGUCGGGUGUGAAAACUCCGGCUCAACUCGGAGACGCCACUCGAUACUGCCAUGACUCGAGUCCGGUAGGGGAGUGCGGAAUUCCUGGUGUAGCGGUGAAAUGCGCAGAUAUCAGGAAGAACACCCGUGGCUAAGGCGGCUCUCUAGUACGGUACUGACGCUGAGACGCGAAAGCGUGGGGAGCGAACAGGAUAG